GACGAACGCUGGCGGCGUGCUUAACACAUGCAAGUCGAACGAAGAGCGAUGGAAGCUUGCUUCUAUCAAUCUUAGUGGCGAACGGGUGAGUAACGCGUAAUCAACCUGCCCUUCAGAGGGGGACAACAGUUGGAAACGACUGCUAAUACCGCAUACGAUCCAAUCUCGGCAUCGGGACUGGAUGAAAGGUGGCCUCUAUUUAUAAGCUAUCACUGAAGGAGGGGAUUGCGUCUGAUUAGCUAGUUGGAGGGGUAACGGCCCACCAAGGCGAUGAUCAGUAGCCGGUCUGAGAGGAUGAACGGCCCCAUUGGGACUGAGACACGGCCCAGACUCCUACGGGAGGCAGCAGUGGGGAAUCUUCCGCAAUGGACGAAAGUCUGACGGAGCAACGCCGCGUGAGGGAUGACGGCCUUCGGGUUGUAAAGCUCUGUUAAUCGGGACGAAUGGUUCUUGUGCGAAUAGUGCGAGGAUUUGACGGUACCGGAAUAGAAAGCCACGGCUAACUACGUG
rnacentral:rRNA from 1 species